ACCGGCCCCUGCUGCUGGCCCCCAGGGGCACUGCUUGGGCCCCUGGGAAGUCCUUGGAGGGAAUGGUAUUUGUGUUGGCAUCUGUGGCCCCUCUGGCCCUGCCAACUUCCACAGCAUGUGACACUGUCAGGGGACCGUAGGUGUGAGAACAUCAGCCGAGGGGCUCGUGCUGCUCUCUGACAACAGUCUACAGCCCUGAGCCAGUGCACAAGGCUUCAAUGUGGACUACAUAUGAAGCACACUACAGUUUACAAUGUACAUCUCAUUUCACUUCAAAGACCCUGACAGGAGACCCUGAAGACAGACACUGCACGGGCCUGGCAGGAAAUCUCAUAUCGAGAGAGAAGAAGGACGAGAGAGAGAGAGAGAGAGAGAGAGAGAGAGAGAUCUGUUGCUUCCUGUAUGCGCCCUGACUGGGGAUCGAACGCACAACCUUUUGGUGGACAGGACAACACUCCGACCGACUGAACCAACACCAGCCAGGACGAGAGCCUCUUUCUAGGGCCUUUAAGACCUGCAUGUUCCCCUCCCCACCACCUCUGCCUCCUUCUGCCCCCAAAGGUCAGGGCUCCGAUGCACCCUCCUCUCUGUGCACUCUCCAUCAGAGUAUUUAGCUCCCUGGUUCCAAGUGCAGUCAGUCUGCACAGCAGCUCCCAAACCCAUUUCUCCGGUUUAUCAGGUCGCCCAGCUAGAACCCACUUCUGGCCGCUGACUGACUUCCCCUGCUGGACCCCCUCCGGCACGCUCGGCACUGGCCGUGUCUCCCAGACCUACGUGCGGUCUGCCCUCCCUGUCACCCCUGACUCCUCAUCCCUUCAUUCAGAUUUCUACCCAUUUACCAAUCCUGUCAAUUUCCCCAAGUCAUGGUUCUUUGGAAAUGAACACAGAAUUUUAUUUUAUUUUAUUUUCAAAACACAAAACCAGGUCAUUAUUUAACUUUGCUCCUUUUCAAUUUAUUAUCCUGAUUAACCCUCUUUGGUAUGAAAGCCAGUAAAAUGAUAUAAAUCUUGGGUCUUUUAACCCA